rnacentral:rRNA from 1 species
GUCGAACGAUGAAGCCCAGCUUGCUGGGUGGAUUAGUGGCGAACGGGUGAGUAACACGUGAGUAACCUGCCCCUGACUUCGGGAACCACGAGAAAUCGUGGCUAAUACCGGAUAUGAACGUGCCUGCAUGGGUGUGUGUGGAAAGAUUUAUCGGUUGGGGAUGGGCUCGCGGCCUAUCAGCUUGUUGGUGGGGUGAUGGCCUACCAAGGCGACGACGGGUAGCCGGCCUGAGAGGGUGACCGGCCACACUGGGACUGAGACACGGCCCAGACUCCUACGGGAGGCAGCAGUGGGGAAUAUUGCACAAUGGGCGCAAGCCUGAUGCAGCGACGCCGCGUGAGGGAUGACGGCCUUCGGGUUGUAAACCUCUUUCAGUAGGGAAGAAGCUCUUCGGAGUGACGGUACCUGCAGAAGAAGGCCGGCUAACUACGUGCCAGCAGCCGCGGUAAUACGUAGGGCGCAAGCGUUGUCCGGAAUUAUUGGGCGUAAAGAGCUCGUAGGCGGUUUGUCGCGUCUGCUGUGAAAACGCAAGGCUUAACCUUGCGCCUGCAGUGGGUACGGGCAGACUAGAGUGCGGUAGGGGAGACUGGAAUUCCUGGUGUAGCGGUGGAAUGCGCAGAUAUCAGGAGGAACACCGAUGGCGAAGGCAGGUCUCUGGGCCGUUACUGACGCUGAGGAGCGAAAGCAUGGGGAGCGAACAGGAUUAGAUACCCUGGUAGUCCAUGCCGUAAACGUUGGGCACUAGGUGUGGGAUCCAUUCCACGGGUUCCGUGCGCAGCUAACGCAUUAAGUGCCCCGCCUGGGGAGUACGGCCGCAAGGCUAAAACUCAAAGGAAUUGACGGGGGCCCGCACAAGCGGCGGAGCAUGCGGAUUAAUUCGAUGCAACGCGAAGAACCUUACCAAGGCUUGACAUACACCGGAAAAGUGCAGAGAUGUGCUCCCCGUAAGGUCGGUGUACAGGUGGUGCAUGGUUGUCGUCAGCUCGUGUCGUGAGAUGUUGGGUUAAGUCCCGCAACGAGCGCAACCCUUGUCCUGUGUUGCCAGCACGUAAUGGUGGGGACUCAUAGGAGACUGCCGGGGUCAAGGAAGGUGGGGAUGACGUCAAAUCAUCAUGCCCCUUAUGUCUUGGGCUUCACGCAUGCUACAAUGGCCGGUACAAAGGGCUGCGAUACCGCGAGGUGGAGCGAAUCCCAAAAAGCCGGUCUCAGUUCGGAUUGGGGUCUGCAACUCGACCCCAUGAAGUCGGAGUCGCUAGUAAUCGCAGAUCAGCAACGCUGCGGUGAAUACGUUCUCGGGCCUUGUACACACCGCCCGUCACGUCAUGAAAGUCGGUAACACCCGAAGCCGGUGGCCCAACCCCUUGUGGGAGGGAGCUGU